CCCUUAGAUGUCCUGGGCCGCACGCGCGUUACACUGAUGCAUUCAACGAGCUUAUAACCUUGGCCGAGAGGCCUGGGCAAUCUUGUUAACGUGCAUCGUGAUAGGGAUAGAUUAUUGAAAUUAUUAAUCUUGAACGAGGAAUUCCUAGUAAACGCAGAUCAUCAAUCUGCAUUGAUUACGUCCCUGCCCUUUAUACACACCGCCCGUCGCACCUACCGAUUGGAUGGUCCGGUGAAGCCUCGGGAUUGUGGUUCUUGCCGCUUUAUUGUGGCGUGACCGCGAGAACUUGUCUAAACCUUAUCAUCUAGAGGAAGGUGAAGUCGUAACA
rnacentral:rRNA from 1 species